AGAGUUUGAUCCUGGCUCAGGAUGAACGCUAGCGGCAGGCCUAACACAUGCAAGUCGAGGGGUAACUGGGGAGCUUGCUCCCGCAGACGACCGGCGCACGGGUGAGUAACGCGUAUGCAACCUGCCCCGUACAGGAGGAUAGCCCGGGGAAAUUCGGAUUAAUACUCCAUAAUUCCUUAAAGUGGCAUCACUUAAAGGUUAAAGAUUUAUCGGUACGGGAUGGGCAUGCGUGACAUUAGUUAGUUGGUAAGGUAACGGCUUACCAAGGCAUCGAUGUCUACGGGGUCUUAAAGGAUGGUCCCGCACACUGGUACUGAGACACGGACCAGACUCCUACGGGAGGCAGCAGUGAGGAAUAUUGGUCAAUGGGGGCAACCCUGAACCAGCCAUGCCGCGUGGAGGAAGACUGCCCUACGGGUUGUAAACUCCUUUUAUUCGGGAAUAAAUGUGUCCACGUGUGGAUAUUUGCAUGUACCGAACGAAUAAGCACCGGCUAACUCCGUGCCAGCAGCCGCGGUAAUACGGAGGGUGCGAGCGUUAUCCGGAUUUAUUAGGUUUAAAGGGUGCGUAGGCGGGCCUUUAAGUCAGUGGUGAAAUCCUCCCGCUCAACGGGAGAACUGCCAUUGAUACUGAAGGUCUUGAGUAUAGUUGAGGUAGGCGGAAUGUGUAAUGUAGCGGUGAAAUGCAUAGAUAUUACCCAGAACACCAAUUGCGAAGGCAGCUUACUAAACUAUUACUGACGCUGAUGCACGAAAGCGUGGGUAGCGAACAGGAUUAGAUACCCUGGUAGUCCACGCCGUAAACGAUGUUCACUGGCUGUAUGCGAUACACAGUAUGCGGCUGAGCGAAAGCAUUAAGUGAGCCACCUGGGGAGUACGUUGGCAACAAUGAAACUCAAAGGAAUUGGCGGGGGCCCGCACAAGCGGAGGAACAUGUGGUUUAAUUCGAUAAUACGCGAGGAACCUUACCUGGGCUUAAAUGUAGGUUGCAUGUAGUGGAAACAUUACUUUCCUACGGGACUACUUACAAGGUGCUGCAUGGCUGUCGUCAGCUCGUGCCGUGAGGUGUCGGGUUAAGUCCCAUAACGAGCGCAACCCCUAUUGCUAGUUACCAACGUUUAAGGCGGGGACUCUAGUGAGACUGCCACCGUAAGGUGUGAGGAAGGUGGGGAUGACGUCAAGUCAGCACGGCCCUUACGUCCAGGGCUACACACGUGUUACAAUGGCCGGUACAAAGGGCAGCUACCUGGUGACAGGAUGCUAAUCUCUAAAGCCGGUCUCAGUUCGGAUCGAAGUCUGCAACUCGACUCCAUGAAGUCGGAGUCGCUAGUAAUCCCGGAUCAGCAACGCCGGGGUGAAUACGUUCCCGGGCCUUGUACACACCGCCCGUCAAGCCAUGGGAGCCGGGGGUACC
rnacentral:rRNA from 1 species